UGAGAACUACAUACUGUCUGAACUUUUAUUGGGACCCUUUUUUCUAAACAGGCUAACAACUUAAAUACCUCAGGAAGACUAAAGAAUACAGUAUGCAUUUCAAUGGAGAUCAAAGGUAGUUUUACAAUGAAGUCAAAUGAACAGAUGGGCCGGUAUAAUUUGGUAAGGAAUUGACCAACAAGCAAGAAGAACAGAGACACUGUUUCCCUAGCGGCUUUUCUCCUGUACUUCAUUCUAAGACUUCCCGCUUCCUGGUGUUCGCACAUGGAGACCUGCCACGGGGGCCCUGAGGAUCCUGGGCCAAGAGGUUCAGGAUGUUGUUCUCUGAGGAAUAGCCCAGAAGUCAGCAACUCAGCUUUCCAACAUGAGAUUCGGUGCCCCAGACCUCUGGGGCACCAGUAACUAAGGACUUUGAGAAAACCACCUGCUGUCUCCCAAGAAGCCAAGCAGGACAUUUUAAGACAAAGCUUUGAGUACAACAGCACUUCUGAGAGCCUCCUGGUCAUGUGCAAACCUCCAGGUAGCAGCGAAAGUCAUAGAAAUUAUUUAUUCUCUAGUAAAGAAGUAAUAAAACCCAUUGGACGCUAAAGGGCAAAGUCUUCAGUUAGGCACCUAAAUCCACCUCUUGCUCAAAUGAAUAGCCUGAUUGCCCAGGAGGCCCACACCUCCUGGCAGCGACCCAGCAGGAGCUCAGUACACUCGCUGCUCUGGCCACUUGCCAAGCGCCCAAAGGGAGCUGAACCUCAGGCACCCGGCCUGGAAGGGCCAAGCAUGUCCCACUCCAGCUGUCAGGGUGUCAACCAUGGUUUUGGAGGAGUUACAUUGAAACAGCUCACAUUUUCUAGCGUGUCCCAUGCUUUGUUUCAAACCAGGGUGAGGAAGCCUGAGGAAAGCUCCUGUUUACUGUAGGCUUCCCCUGGCCCAGCCACCUUCCCUGAGCUCACUUGUGGGGAAAGCUCCUGCUUCUAGCGCCGAGCUCUGGGAAGGAAGCAAAGCAGGGCACAACACAAGGAAGAGUGGCUCCAGAACGCAGCGGGGUGGACAUCCUGAGGCCUUGCUUCAGUGCCUGGUAGACACACAGCUGUGCUGUGUGACUAAGGCAAGCCGCUGUGCCUACCCUGAGCAAUUCCUUGCACUGAUGAAGGGGCAGUAAUCCUCCCCUUUCCCCACAAUAACCACCAAGAGCCACGAGGGGAUCAGUGGGGAGAGAUCAGAGAUCUCCAGGGAUCUUUGGUGAGCCAGGUCAUGCUUUACAGCACGGAAGAUGAAGAGCAAGUUCAUGCUCUCCAUCAGCACCUCAGGUGCAGGCUGGCCUGUCGCUUCCAAACAUCUAGCGCCUUUCCAAGGAACUGCCAUCUGUUAACAGAAACUGGUGCAAAGAGACGGAAAUGAACAGAGCAGAGAAAAUCCUCCAUCUAAAUGAGGUUUCUCCCUAAACUACUGGUGGUUGAGCUCCAUGUAAGCCUCAUUUGCCUGCCGGAUGCCUCCAUUCUGGCAGACGCCUCUCGGAUCACCUCUCUCCAACAUAUAUGGCAACACCUCACUUUGUAUGAAAGGCUCCUAUCUUCAUGGACCCAGUGGCAAGACCCAAACAGCUUUAAGUAAUGCUCAAUAAAUAAAAGAAAUAAAUAUUAAAUAACAGGCUAAGUCCUCUCAGCCUUUUCAAUAUAUGUACAAUGCAUAGCAAAAUAACAUUGAUUGGCUAUUGCAGACAACAGUUUGGUACAACUUAAGUCCCCCAAAACAAUAAACAACAUGGAAAAAAGUUGCAAUCAGCAUAAAGUAAAGAACAACCAAGUGCUGUAACCCUUGAAGAAAAGAAGUACACAACAGUGCUUGGAAACAUCCCUUAUCCUUGCUUUUCAGCAAAACUGCAGAGACUGUGCUGGGUUUGCUGGAGCCUGGCCUCAAAGCUUGGUUUGGGAGCGGGGAAACUAGCCUCACUCAGGUAGCAGGACAAGGUAGGGUCCAGCGAGCGGGGAGCACGGCCCCAGUGAUUCCAGUUUCCUGGGGGAUAUUUGAAGCUGAAUGACCAUCUCUGCAGUGCCUGGCAGCCAGGAGAGCAACACCCGACACAGCACGGCUCAGCUCCAUUGGGAGCGCUGGGUUUCAUGCUCCACCGCGGAAAGGCAACCAGGACAAUUCGGGGGAUAGAAACAAGACUGUGGGCAGGAAAGAGUCCUCAUGAACGAGGAAAGAAAAAACCUCCGAGACAGCACUCCCAAAAGACAGCCGAGAUGUUUUCCUGAAGCCUUUUUACUCUCAGUGAGGUUGCAGAUGUCCCUGGGCAUCCCUUGCACUCAGGAGCAGCUGGCCAGCCUCAGGUUAGCAGCGACUUGCCUACACUGAAAUGAGCACAUCGCAUUUCCACCGGAGGAAAGCUGCUCCUUGUGGAGAGCGGCAGCAGCAAUCUAAAAUGCCGGAUGUAGAGCAAAAAUUCCUUAAAAGCAAUGAAUGAGUGAAACAGCAUUAAAAAAAAGAAUAAGAAGGAAAAAAAAAAAAA